GAACAUCUUAUCUCAGCGUAAGGCUAUUGUUAGCUUACUAUAGCUUGGUCUAAGCUAAUAACGCUAAAUCUCGCCGGCUAACCGCGGCUAUAUUUCGUGGUUAUUGUUUAAACAUUGUUCCAGUCCCCUCUGCCCCGACGUGUUGUGGCCCGGAGCGGUUUCCCAAACGGUCACGACCCUAUGAGGGGCUCGGACCUCAUGAGUGGCGCCAUUAUCCGUCGUGGGGACCAGAGACUCAGACACAGACCCCAUUAACGGUAAUGCUUUAACUAAACUCCACAAUAAGGCAGCUGUGGUUUAAGUUCAACAAGGAAAGAGGCCAAUCACGUAUUAGGAAAUAAAACAACGAACCCUACGGGGUUAUAUUUAUUAGCUCGUUCUACUGCGGCACCCCUCAGGGUCUAGGGGUCCCUGAGGAACCCCCACUUUGACCACCCGGUCUGGAGCCUCAGGAGAGGUGUCCUUCUCUAGAUCCUCAGUGUCCUUAGAUCCUAAGUGUCCUUCUCUAGAUACUAAGUGUCCUUAGACCCUAAGUGUCCUUAGGCCCUAAGUCCUUCUCUAGAUCCUAAGUGUCCAUAGACUCUACUUCGUUCUCUAGAUCCUAAGUGUCCUUAGACCCUACUUCCUUCUCUAGACCCUAAGUGUCCUUAUACCCUAAUGCCCAUAUAUCCUAAGUGCCCUUAGACCCUCAGUGUCCUUAGAUCCUAUGUCCUUCUCUAGAGGAGAUCUAUGAAUUCUUUCUCUACCGUCUUGAGUCUCUGCCUCCCACGGAUUUGUUUUAACGCGAAGAAUUCACCAGGAAAAUAGAAUAAAUAAAUAAAAGGUUAAGGUUUAGAUAUAAGUAUACUUUUCAUUCAAUUUAGUCCGUAGUCUAUAUUUAUAAUUUAUAAUUUACACAAGCCAUGAGUCGAGUCUUACAAUAUAUAAUUGUUUCUUUUUUUGUUUAUUCAUAAUUGUUGUCUUGUCAUGAGUCUAUUUUAUUGUAUUCGCAGGAUGAUCAAUAUAUUAUUACAGUCAUCAGUCUAUAUUACAGCUAAUAUUUAUGCUCAUAAUAUAUUUUAUUGUCUAUAUUUUAUGGUCGUCAUGAGCCUAUACUUAAAUUCUAUAUUAGGCCUAUAUUGUCUUUGUGAAUCGUACUAUAUUAUAUAUUUCAUGAUUGUCGAGCAUAAACAUUUCCUCGAGCCUGAAUGUUUAAAAAGGUUAUUGUGGAAAUGUGUUUGUGUAAAUAAAUGUGUGUGUGUGUGUGUGUGUGUGUGUGUGUGUGUGUGUGUGUGUGUGUGUGUGUGUGUGUGUGUGUGUGUGUGUGUGUGUGUGUGUGUGCGUGCGUGUGUGCG
ensembl:lncRNA